AACGAACGCUGGCGGCAUGCCUAACAUAUGCAAGUCGAACGAGACCUUCGGGUCUAGUGGCGCACGGGUGCGUAACGCGUGGGAACCUGCCCUUAGGUUCGGAAUAACUCCCCGAAAGGGGUGCUAAUACCGGAUAAUGUCUUCGGACCAAAGAUUUAUCGCCUUUGGAUGGGCCCGCGUUGGAUUAGCUAGUUGGUAGGGUAAAAGCCUACCAAGGCGACGAUCCAUAGCUGGUCUGAGAGGAUGAUCAGCCACACUGGGACUGAGACACGGCCCAGACUCCUACGGGAGGCAGCCGUGGGGAAUAUUGGACAAUGGGCGGAAGCCUGAUCCAGCAAUGCCGCGUGAGUGAUGAAGGCCUUAGGGUUGUAAAGCUCUUUUACCCGGGAUGAUAAUGACAGUACCGGGAGAAUAAGCUCCGGCUAACUCCGUG
rnacentral:rRNA from 1 species